rnacentral:rRNA from 1 species
UACGUAGGGUGCAAGCGUUUAAUCGGAAUACUGGGCGUAAAGCGUGCGCAGGCGGUUUUGUAAGUCUGUCGUGAAAUCCCCGGGCUCAACCUGGGAAUGGCCGAUGGAGACUGCAAGGCUAUGAGUUGGCAGGAGGGGGUAGAAUUCCACGUGUAGCAGUGAAAUGCGUAGAUAUGUGGAGGAACACCGAUGGCGAAGGCAGCCCCCCUGGGUCAAAAACUGACGCUCAUGCACGAAAGCGUGGGGAGCAAACAGG